CCUACGGGUGGCAGCAGUCGAGAAUCAUUCACAAUGGGGGAAACCCUGAUGGUGCGACGCCGCGUGGGGGAAUGAAGGUCUUCGGUUUGUAAACCCCUGUCAUGUGGGAGCAAAUUAAAAAGAUAGUACCACAAGAGGAAGAGACGGCUAACUCUGGACCAGCAGCCGCGGUAAUACAGAGGUCUCAAGCGAUGUUCGGAGUCACUGGGCGUAAAGCGUGCGUAGGCGGGUUCGUAAGUCGUGUGUGAAAGGCGCGGGCUCAACCCGCGGACGGCACAUGAUACUGGGAGACUAGAGUAAUGUAGGGGGAAGUGGAAUUCUCGGUGUAGCAGUGAAAUGCGUAGAUAUCGAGAGGAACACUGGUGGCGAAGGCGGGUUCCUGGACAUUAACUGACGCUGAGGCACGAAGGCCAGGGGAGCGAAAGGGAUUAGAUACCCCAGUAGUC
rnacentral:rRNA from 1 species